rnacentral:ribozyme from 16 species
AAUUUAAAUAUUAUAUUUUUUUAUCUUAAAUAUUUUAUUUUAUAAAUGGAAGAAAUAAAAAUAAAAACGAUUGAAAACGCUGUUAUUUCGUU